rnacentral:lncRNA from 1 species
UAUAAGUUGCACGAUAUCACCGGAGAAGCUUACCAGAGGAGAAAUUGAGUGAUCGAGCAAGUGUUCAGCUACAUUAAAUACCCUAAAAGCUUCAGCAAAUAUGAUAUAGACCAAAGCCCCUGUGUCUACCAGGAUUCGUCUUACUUCAAAGUUGGCUAUGUGAGCCUCCACGAUCAGUGCGUCGUUCUGAGGGUAGAUGAUACCUCUUUCUUCCUCAAGGUAGAAACAUAUUGGAUCCCAGUAAGGCUUUUGAUACUUGCCUCCCCUGAUGUCUUCCACGUGAAACACUUGGUGGCUAGGCUUUAAAGCUCAUU